rnacentral:rRNA from 1 species
GACGGAGGAGGCAAGCGUUAUCCGGAAUUAUUGGGCGUAAAGCGUCCGCAGGCGGCUAAUUAAGUCUGUUGUCAAAGGUCACAGCUCAACUGUGGAUCGGCAAUGGAAACUGAUUGGCUAGAGUGUGGUAGGGGUAGAGGGAAUUCCCGGUGUAGCGGUGAAAUGCGUAGAUAUCGGGAAGAACACCAGUGGCGAAGGCGCUCUACUGGGCCACAACUGACGCUGAGGGACGAAAGCUAGGGGAGCGAAAGGG